rnacentral:rRNA from 1 species
GUGGGGAAUCUUGCGCAAUGGGCGAAAGCCUGACGCAGCGACGCCGCGUGAGCGAUGAAGGCCUUCGGGUUGUAAAGCUCUGUGGGGAGGAAAGAAUAAGGGUUGGCUAACAUCCAACCUGAUGACGGUACCUCCUUAGCAAGCACCGGCUAACUCUGUGCCAGCAGCCGCGGUAAGACAGAGGGUGCAAACGUUGUUCGGAAUUACUGGGCGUAAAGCGCGUGUAGGCGGCCCUGCAAGUCGGAUGUGAAAUCCCACGGCUCAACCGUGGAAGUGCAUUCGAAACUGCAGGGCUAGAGUCCUGGAGAGGAAGGUGGAAUGCUUGGUGUAGAGGUGAAAUUCGUAGAUAUCAAGCGGAACACCGGUGGCGAAGGCGGCCUUCUGGACAGUGACUGACGCUGAGACGCGAAAGCGUGGGGAGCAAACAGGAUUAGAUACCCUAGUAGUCC